CGCACAUUGCGCCCACUAGUAUUCUGGUGGGCAUGCCUGUUCGAGCGUCAUUAAGUCCACUCAAGCUUAGUUGCUUGGAAUUGGGAGACUACUUCACUGUAGCUCCUCAAAGACAACGGCGGAGAUGUGUCAUCCUCUGAGCUUAGUAAUUAUUUCUAGCUUGUGAGUGAGGCAUGCCCCCUGCCGUAAAACACCCAUCUUUUUAUGGUUGACCUCGGAUCAGGUAGGAAUACCCGCUGAACUUAA
rnacentral:misc_RNA from 1 species